GAGAGCUAAACGCUGCGCGCACCAACCCAGGCCCGAUGGUUUGUUGGACAGACUGGACUUGAGAAGGUACAAUCAGGAACCAGCUUCAUUAUUUUCCAAGCACUGCCUUCAACUAGACUCUUUGGAUCACCUUCCCCAAUUCAGAGGAUUUGUACGCCAAAUCUCAGACACUUUCAGAACUCUUCCCAGAUUCCAUUUAUCUCAAAGGAGAAGAAACAGGCUGAUCUGCAUUCAGCAAGUGACUGCCCCAGCGCCUCUGCAGUGUGAAGAUUUGAAAUCGACUUUCUCCCUGGAGGAUGUUUCUUGGAUGCAGGAGGGGAAGAAAAGUCAGCUAAGCCAAGCCAUCUUUAAAGAUCUUCUCUCGGAAGCAAGCCAAAGAAGCUUAAUGGAUCCACUGACAACUGUCUCUCUUUUGUGAGACUGACAUAGUGGUAUUGCAGGAGGGCCUCCAUCAGCUCAGGUUGGAACACCAGGACAGGGGUUCACGGCUUGAAGGAAAGGGUCGCCAGAAAAGCCAGAGUGGAGACUGCAGGGAGUACAGAUUUGAAUGAACUUUGGCUGCUCCAUCAAGCAUGCUGAUCACUGAGGAAACAUCAGAAGCCUCACCCA